ACGGAAGGCAGCAGUGGGGAAUAUUGGGCAAUGGGCGAAAGCCUGACCCAGCAACGCCGCGUGAAGGAAGAAGGCCUUCGGGUUGUAAACUUCUUUUACCAGGGACGAAGGACGUGACGGUACCUGGAGAAAAAGCAACGGCUAACUACGUGCCAGCAGCCGCGGUAAUACGUAGGUUGCAAGCGUUGUCCGGAUUUACUGGGUGUAAAGGGAGCGCAGACGGCUUUGCAAGUCUGAUGUGAAAGGCAGGGGCUCAACUCCUGGACUGCAUUGGAAACUGUAGGGCUAGAGUGUCGGAGAGGUAAGCGGAAUUCCUAGUGUAGCGGUGAAAUGCGUAGAUAUUAGGAGGAACACCAGUGGCGAAGGCGGCUUACUGGACGAUAACUGACGUUGAGGCUCGAAAGCGUGGGGAGCAAACAGGAUUAGAUACCCUGGUA
rnacentral:rRNA from 1 species